rnacentral:lncRNA from 1 species
ACAUCCAGAUCACUCCGCCUCUGUGUCUCUCACCCCUCAGCUACUGAAAGACUCAAGGCCACUUUCCCUAGGAAAUCACCUAGAUUGCAGCCACUAAUCUCUAGUCAUCAUCUGCUUGAAACUCCUCGCUGGGCUGACAGGAUGCUUUACGAGAAGUGUUUCCGAAAUGGUUCUCGUAGGGAGCUCCCGAGGAAGGCCUUUGACCUGGGCUAUGCUCCAAGUCUUCUCGACCCUUCUCCAGUGCAGCAAUUUCUGCUCAGGGUCUGGAGUGGUGCUCAGUGGCCGAGUCUGUCACCUCCCUCAGAAGCGUUACAGUGAUGUUAUACAGGUCAGAAGAGAUGACAGACACUAUGUAGCAGAUGAUAAAAAGUUUUCAAAUGUUUUACAGGAUUAACUGCUGUUGUUAUCAGAAAAACUCAUGAUUUUCACAAAUUCUGCCUUGUGCUAUGGAGCACCAUAGGACUUUAGUUAUUUAUUAAUGAAGAUUGAUUCGGCUUUUUGGAAUUAAUGUUAUUGGCUUAAUGAUGGCUGCCAUAAUUCAUUAACACAUUAAAUUAAAGUACUUCUAGAUGAUCUUAAGACACUUUCUGCCUCAGCUUCUCCUUUGGCAAGUACUGAUGUUGAUGAGAAUGCCCGUAUUUUAUAAAGUUAUGAUAGAAAAGUGACAUCCCUUACAGGAAACACCUUACACAGUGCCUGGUACACAGAAAGUACCCAGGAUGUUGGAGGACAGUGUUCAAGUAAAUACUGCUCAUCAGAACAGCCAACAAGAAGAAAGUUACAGUGUUAAUCAUCACAUCAGACCUAGGAGACCAGACCAAAGCAUCUCUGAAGCGUCAUCAGAUCCGAAGCAUCAUCGGAGAAGCUCGUACUUGCAGUUGGUGGCUGUGGUGACAAGUGAGAAUGGCCCCCACAGACUUACUUGUUUGAAUACUUGGUUUCCAGUUGGUGGAAUUGUUCGGGAUGUAUUAGGAGUUGUCUCAAGAUGUGAACUCUCUACUACUGCUCCAGCGCCAUGCCUGUCUGCUGCCAUGUUCCUACCGUGAUGGUCAUGGACUCUAACUGUGCUCAGCCCUAGAGUGGGGGUGGGGGAGGGGGAUGGUUACUUUGGAGAACUGGCAUUCUGUAUUCCUCUCACUAGGACACGAGGAUGCCGACACUCCCAGCAAACCUUCCUGUUGGGAAGAGAACACUCACACGACCCAUAGAGAGCAGUAACUGAAACAGGAGCACGCUAUUUCCAUAAUGGAGAGGUCUGAUGUCCACUUCCUUCAUCAAAGGCUAAACUUACCAGCAGCAGCAGUGGGAUACCCUGACAACACAUGACACUUGAUAAGAUGUAUACAAGUGAUUAUCACUCAUAGUAUGGCCACAAGUUUUGCCUGAACGAAACCACGAUGAAAUAGAUAAAUUUAAAACACUGACAUUGUAUAAGACAAUUAGCCCAAGCACUUUUCUUUCUAGGUUAACUGAAACUUGACACUAAUACAACUGCUACAAAUAAUAUGACCACCAAUGAAAAUAUGAAUCUUGACCGGGUGCUAGAGAUACAAAGCUUGCUUAAGGCAUUUUUGGCAUAAUUAGGGAUAUCUAAAUGUGAGCAUUCAUUAGAUGGUUUUCCUAUUACCUUUGUGACUUUUCAUAUAUGAUAAAGUAUAUUUACAUAG